rnacentral:rRNA from 1 species
UACGUAGGGACCAAGCGUUGUUCGGAUUUACUGGGCGUAAAGGGCGCGUAGGCGGCUUGUCAAGUCACUUGUGAAAUCUCUGGGCUUAACCCAGAACGGCCAAGUGAAACUGACAUGCUAGAGUGCAGAAGGGGCAAUCGGAAUUCUUGGUGUAGCGGUGAAAUGCGUAGAUAUCAAGAGGAACACCUGAGGUGAAGACGGGUUGCUGGGCGUGACACUGACGCUGAUGACGCGAAAGCCAGGGAGCGAACGGG